rnacentral:rRNA from 1 species
AGUGAACGCUGGCGGUAGGCCUAACACAUGCAAGUCGAACGGCAGCACAGUAAGAGCUUGCUCUUACGGGUGGCGAGUGGCGGACGGGUGAGGAAUACAUCGGAAUCUACUUUUUCGUGGGGGAUAACGUAGGGAAACUUACGCUAAUACCGCAUACGACCUACGGGUGAAAGCAGGGGAUCUUCGGACCUUGCGCGAUUGAAUGAGCCGAUGUCGGAUUAGCUAGUUGGCGGGGUAAAGGCCAACCAAGGCGACGAUCCGUAGCUGGUCUGAGAGGAUGAUCAGCCACACUGGAACUUAGACACGGUCCAGACUCCUACGGGAGGCAGCAGUGGGGAAUAUUGGACAAUGGGCGCAAGCCUGAUCCAGCCAUACCGCGUGGGUGAAGAAGGCCUUCGGGUUGUAAAGCCCUUUUGUUGGGAAAGAAAAGCAGCAGGUUAAUACCCCGCUGUUCUGACGGUACCCAAAGAAUAAGCACCGGCUAACUUCGUG